UACGGGGGGGGCAAGCGUUGUUCGGAAUUACUGGGCGUAAAGAGCUCGUAGGCGGCCAACUAAGUCAGACGUGAAAUCCCUCGGCUUAACCGGGGAACUGCGUCUGAUACUGGAUGGCUUGAGUUUGGGAGAGGGAUGCGGAAUUCCAGGUGUAGCGGUGAAAUGCGCAGAUAUCGGGAAGAACACCCGUGGCGAAGGCGGUUCUCUGGGACGGUACUGACGCUGAGACGCGAAAGCGUGGGGAGCGAACAGG
rnacentral:rRNA from 1 species